GACGAACUGUGCAAACGUUAUUCGGAAUCACUGGGCUUGAAGAGUGCGUAGGCGGUUUUGUAAGUCGGGUGUGAAAGCCUCCGGCUUAACCGGGGAAUUGCGCUCUAAACUGCAAGGCUGGAGUGAGGUAGGGGUGUGCGGAACUUCUAGUGGAGCGGUGAAAUGUGUUGAUAUUAGAAGGAACGCCGGUGGCGAAAGCGACACACUGGACCUUGUCUGACGCUGAGGCACGAAAGCCAGGGGAGCAAACGGG
rnacentral:rRNA from 1 species